rnacentral:tRNA from 1 species
GCCCUGGUGGUGAAAUGGUAGACACAAUUGAUUCAAAAUCAAUGGCAUUUCGGUGCAUGGAGGUUCAAGUCCUCUUCAGGGCA